GAGUCUCGCUCUUGUCACCCAGGCUGGAAUGCAGUGCCAUGAUCUUGGCUCACUGCAACCUCCGCCUCCCAGAUUCAAGCAAUUCUCCUGCCUCAGCCUCCUGAGUACCUGGGAUUACAGGCACCUGACACCACGCCUGGCUAAUUAUUGUAUUUUUAGUAGAGACGGGUUUUCGCCAUGUUGGCCAAGCUGGUCUCUAACUCUUGCACUCAGGUGAUCUGCCCGCCUCGGCCUCCCAAAGUGCUGGGAUUCCAAGACGUGAGCCACCAUGCCUGGCCAGUCCUUUUUAAUUCUAUCAUUUUUCUUAGGCAUUCAAACAAGUCUAAAGGUGCUCAUUUAACUAUUUGGUGAUAAUCAUUGCACAUUUAUGGCAGGGGCCAGGGAUAUACUGUCAAAAAUAUAUGUAUUAUAUACUUCCCUUCUGGAGCAUAUAAUGGUGAGAAUCAUUAAGAACUGAUAAGAGUUCAGUAAGUGGAGAGGAAGAGGCAGAGAAACAGCAAGAGCAGAAGGAUGGGUAGAAAGUGCUAAAUGUAUUUUAGGGUAGAGUGUCUAAAUUUGCCUAGCUGGGGCAAGGGUUUGUGUAGAGGAAGAAAGAGGUAAGUGCAAAUCUAUCGUGUGCUCAACAUUUCACCCAUGCUAUUUUAUUUCUAUCUUUUUAUUUUUUAUUUUUUGAGACAGGGUCUUACUCUGUCACCCAGGCUGGAGUGCAGUGACAUGAUCAUAGCUCAUUGCAACCUUGAACUCCUGGGCUCAAGCAAUCCUUCUGCCUGGGCCUCCCAAAGUGCUGGGAUUAUAGGUAUGACCCCCUAUGCCUGGCCUUGAAAGUCCAAUUUAUUUGCUUAUUUAGGUGUGACCCACCAUGCGCGGCCUUGAAAAUCUUAUUUAUCUCUGUCUCCUCUCUCUCUCUCUCUCUCUCAUAUACAUUUUUAAAAAGAUGUUUUCUUUGUUUCCUAGCCCCUUCUACCCACCUACAAAGUUCCAAAGGUUUUAAUGCUAUUGCAACGGCAGUCAGAGGUCAAGCUGGUGCAGCUCCCUAAUGCAGGACAGCCUCAGAUGGGGCCAACCCUCCCUGCCCAGCACCAGUGGCACCGGGCAGUGGGGGACGCUCCCGAGGUUCCCGAAACCUGGCUGGGGGAAGUGUUGGGGGUUGCACGUACCCAGGCUCAGCUGAGGCGAGUUCGCCGCCCGGGCUGCAGCUGGUGCUGGCUGGCGCUUGCGCCGGCCAUUGAGGAGCUUCUGGGCGACCUUGCGCUGGUACCCACCAGGCGCCAGCCGGUAGGUGCACAGCGCCUGCUCCAGUAGCGUCAGGUCUUUGCUGCGCGGACCCCGCAGGCCGGGAAGUCAGGCAGGUAUAGUAGUCCAGGUGGUGGUAAAGCUCCUCCUGGUAGCUUAUGGGUGGCGGCCGCUGGGUUGAAGCCUGCGGACUUGACAUACCAGCCGGCCGCGGGUAGUCACCCUCGCGCGCAAGCGCGCUCCUGGAAGACCCAGCACUCCCACCUCGAGUUCCGAUUGGCUCCGCGUGAGGGGCGGGCCUUUGCGCCUUCUGGGGGGGGGGGGGUGCCUUCGGUGACGUCACAGGGGCGGGUCUUCUGCCACGUCACGGGCAGUGCCUGGAGCUGGGCAGUCUUCUCAGAGUGGAGCCUGGUAACGGCGACCUCUCGGCCAGUUCUUGUGUGUUGCGGGCUGGAAAGGGGUAGCUGAUAAACUCCCACCCAGCGCAGUAUUUAUGUCGGUCAAAAAUAGAAAAGAAUGUCCGGGCGCGGCCGGGGUGGGAGGAUCCCUUCAGGCCAAGAGCAGCCUAGCAAUAUGGCGCAACCCCAUCUCUGUAGUCCAACCUCAGCCUCCCAGCUACUUGAACACCAAGGUUCAAGGCUCCAGUAAGCUAUGAUCCCACCACAGAACUCCUGCCUGCGAGAAUGAGAUGAUGAUGAUUCUCCAUCUUCUAAGAGACCAAAGACCAACGAGCCACCACAGCCACCAGUUCCAGAACCUGCCAAUGUUGGGCAACAGAAAGUGAGGGAGUUCAACUCUGACAUGAACUUGUGAGUUUGACACAUGAAGAUUUACAACUUGAUAAACCAGCUUCAGGAGUAAAGGAAGAAUGGUAUGCCAGAAUCACUAAAUUAAGAAAGAUGGUGGAUCAGCUUUUCUGCAAAAAAUUUUGUAACUCCAGUUGGACUCCAUUGUUUCCAAGUCGACUUUCGUCCUUAUCCACAGCUCCUCCACACGAGCCCUGAACACCUGUUCAUUUGAAGCUCUUGGACUCACUGAGGCAGUAAAAGUACCAUAUCCUGUGUUUGAAUCAAACCCCGAGUUCCUGUAUGUAGAAGCCUUGCCAGACAGGAUUUCCUUUCAAAGCCCUCUUGGUUUGGAAUUCCAUGACUUGAAAGGAUCGUCCAUGGAGACCUGAACUAGUUAUUUCCUACUUGCCUCCUGGAAUGGCUAAUAAACACUAAAGCUUCGCAGUUUCUGAAAAGACCAUGAAGCCCUGAGAGUAAUGAAAAGCUUUCUGACAUUGAGGUCACUGUGGAAGCCUCAACCGAGAUGUCUCACCCCAUCCUCUAUGAUGCAACAAGAAGCCCCUGGGGAACGUUUCAGUCCCACUCUGUACUUCUGUCAUGUGCUCAUCACAGUCUGAACCAGCUAAGCUGAAUAUUACCUUGAGAACAAGGGCUAGCCUGUGAUUUCAUGGCCUUUCUUCCAUUUGUGGUUCUUGCCAAGUGGAAUUUAAGUGACCUUUUAUCAAGAUGGAUAAACCCAAGUUUCCCAGUGCCAGAAUACAGAAAAUGGAUGGACAACUGAAUCUACCAUGAAAGACUUCAGAAUCCAGGAAGAGAGACUGAUUGGGCAACAUCUUAUUCAGAAGCAGGACCUUGCUCUGUCACUCAGGAUGGAGUUCAGUUGUCCUAUCAUGGCUCAUUGUAGCCUCAAACUCCCAGUCUCAAGUGACCCUCCCACUUCAUCCUUCCCAGUAGCUGGGACUACAGCUGGAUCUACCAUGAAAGACUUCAGAAUCCAGGAAGAGAGACUGACUGGGCAACAUGUUAUUCAGGUACAAAAAGACUUGGACUAUGACUCAGAAAUGAUCAAAUAACAGUGCAUGCAUCAAGUGCAAUGGGAAGCUCUUCUGGAGGGUGACAGAAGCUUCCAAUUAAGGUGACAUUGAAGCCGGGUCCUGAAAGAUGAGGAAGAGUUGUAUGAGAGUGGAGAGGGAAGGGGGAGGUGGAGGGAUGGGGAAUGGGCUGGGAUGGGAUGGAGGGAGCUGCCCAGGCAGGGAAACCAACACUGUAAAGACCUGGACAAUGAAGACGGCACAUUUUGUUCAGGGAAUGGUGAAUUAAGUAUGAUGGGAAUGCUUUGGAGAGACAGUAAUUUGCUUGUAUGGAAUUUUGCCUGAGAGAACUCAUUACAAUUUCUUUCUUUUUUUUUUUUUUUGGGACAGAGUCUCGCUCUGUCGCCCAGGCUG